rnacentral:rRNA from 1 species
UACGUAGGGUGCAAGCGUUGUCCGGAAUUAUUGGGCGUAAAGAGCUCGUAGGCGGUCUGUCGCGUCUGCUGUGAAAACUCAGGGCUUAACCCUGAGCUUGCAGUGGGUACGGGCAGACUAGAGUGCGGUAGGGGAGACUGGAAUUCCUGGUGUAGCGGUGAAAUGCGCAGAUAUCAGGAGGAACACCGGUGGCGAAGGCGGCUUCCUGGACCGACACUGACGCUGAGGCGCGAAAGCUAGGGGAGCAAACGGG